ACGGGUGAGUAAUGCUUAUCUUACUUGCCGAUUAGUGGGGGAUAACCAGAGGAAACUUUGGCUAAUACCGCAUAUUCUGGCUUCGGGCAGGAAAGGAAGUCGUAAGAUUUUCGCUAAUUGAUAGGGAUAAGUCGCAUCAGCGCGCUGGUAGGGUAAUGGCCUACCAAGGUAAUGGCAAUGACGCGUAGCCGGCCUGAGAGGGUGAACGGCCACAUGGGAACUGAGAUACGGUCCCACUCCUACGGGAGGCAGAAGUGAGUAAUUUAUGGCAAUGGACGAAAGUCUGACCAAGCGAUACUACGUGAAGGAGGAAGGUCUGCGGAUUGUAAACUUCUGUUAGUGCAGAAAAAGGCCAGAUGUAAAUUUGGUUUGAUGGUAUGCACAGAGAAAGCCACGACUAACUAUGUGCCAGCAGUCGCGGUAAGACAUAGGUGGCGAACGUUAUCCGGAAUUAUUGGGCGUAAAGGGUGCGUAGACGGUCUAGUAAGUUAGCAGCGGGAAAUCAAGGCCCAACCUUGUGGAAGUUGUUAAUACUACUAUACUCGAGUGCAGGAGAGGUUAAUGGAACUCAAUGUGGAGCGGUAAAAUGUGUAGAUAUAUUGAAGAACACCAAUAAAGGCGAAGGCAGUUAACUAUUCUGUUACUGACGUUGAGGCACGAAAGCGUGGGGAGCAAAAAGGAUUAGAUACCCUUGUAGUCCACGCCCUAAACGAUGAGUGCUAGAUGUUGGAAACUUGAUUUUCAGUGUCGCUAGGUAACCCGGUAAGCACUCCGCCUGGGCAGUACGCUCGCAAGAGUGAAACUCAAAGGAAUUGACGGGGACUCGCACAAGCAGUGGAGCAUGUGGUUUAAUCCGAUACAACGCGUAGAACCUUACCAAGGCUUGACAUGUAAGGUAGCAAUACUAAACUAGGGAAACCUAGUUGAAUUACACAGGUGCUGCAUGGCCGUCGUCAGUUCGUGCCGUGAGGUGUAUGGUUAAGUCCUAUAACGAACGUAACCCUUGUGCUUAGUUACCAGCAUUAAGUUGGGGACUCUAAGCAGACUGCAAGGUAUGCUUAGGCAUAUCUGAACUGAGUAAUCAGGAGGAAGGAAAGGAUGACGUCUGGUCGUCAUGGCCCUUAUGCCUUGGGCGACACACGUGCUACAAUGGUUAGGACAAAGCGUUGCCAACCCGCGAGGGGGAGCCAAUCGCAAAAAACUAACCUCAGUUCGGAUUGGAGGCUGCAACUCGCCUCCAUGAAGUCGGAAUUGCUAGUAAUCGCAAAUCAGCCAUGUUGCGGUGAAUACGUUCUCGAGUCUUGUACACACCGCCCGUCAAGUCACGAAAGUCGGUAAUGCCUGAAACCAACUGUCUGACCGUAAGGAUGCAGUUGACGAGGGUAGGAUUGGCGAUUGGGGCUAAGUCGUAACAAGGUAGCCGUAG
rnacentral:rRNA from 1 species